GGGCUAGGAGUGAUAUACACAAUCCAGCAGCUUCUUAGGAGGUGCAUCCAGCGGUCCAACAACAUCUUCUUAGGUGCAGCAGCUUGAAAAAAACACACGGCCCAGCAAAACAUUUUCUACACAAGUCCAGCAGCUCUAAUGCAGCGUAAGGGCUUCAUUUUGGAAGGGAAUCAUCUUCAUUUAAGAGCAGCCGCCACCCACAUGGAAGGUGGGAUACAUUCAGCUUCUUGAGAGGAAGCACACGCACUUGGAGGAUGGAAGGCUACGGGUGAAGGGCACGCAACAGCCACCACAUUUUUCUUUCUUAGCUUUGCUUUGAACAUUUUCUGGAUGGAGAACCUUUUUGAACAUUAACGCUGUUUGCAUUUUUUUUAUGAAUGAUAGAAGCAAAUUUUCAUUUUCGUUUGAAGUAUCUCAUUUCAUCUAGCAUUAGGGGUGCACGGUGUUUUGGUGGUGCAGCAGCUCACGUAGCUAUUUUAAUUUCUGAAAACAAAAAACGUUGAUUCAGAAUUUUAUUCCAGCAAUGACGUUUUGCUUUAGGAUGCACAGGCGGUGAUUGAUAUUGGAAGUACACAGCUCAAGGAAGUGGCAACUUUUCAUUCAGCUUUUAGAGAAAAAGAUAUAUGCGUUGGUUCUUGAAGCAUUUGCAAUUUCAAUGUCCUUUUGGUAGGUGCUAUGUGUCAUGUGAAUUGGUAGAAGAAAAAAUUAGGUUUCUUAUUUAUUUUGCUUUAGAAUAUUUUACAUUAUAUGUUGACUAGUUUUUCAUCUUCUUGAUUUAGUGUUGCAUUUUAAUCUUCGCUUAGUUGAUUAGACUGUAUGGUGCAUGACUGAUUGGAUUUGAGCAUUGCGUUCGCUUAGUUUGCAAUUCUGAAAACCGAAUUAGCCUUCGCUUAAUUGGGUGAUUCGUGUUGGAUUUGGAUUAGAGUAGUGUGUACUUGUCAAUAAUCUAUGAUUGGAAGCAUAGUGAUUGAGUUAAUGACCAACCAUUUUUAUUCUGUAUUUGAUUUUGUUUUGCAUUUCUGUUUUUACAUUUCUGUUUGCAUCUGUGUUUCAAUUUAAUUCAUCUGCAUUCACAAAACCUUUUACAAACCCCCCACUUCGUGUCUGACCUAAUUCUCGAACCACAUUUGGUCCUUGAGAGACAACCUAGGAGUCACUUCCUAGUCUAUACUACAUUCUUUAUGCACAUUAAAUUUGCAUGGGGUGCGACACCCAUCACAUCCUCUUGGUGUUGAAACUGAGCCAUCUUGUUUCUAGCACUAUGGUUUGUCAAAUUAAGUGGGUGUUUUAAAAUGAAAAGAAAAAUUUGAUAAUUUUUUUUUCUCUUUCUUCCUUAAGGUGUCAAUUUUAGUAGAAUUUUUUUUUAUUUAAGUUACUCAAUAAGGAGGAGCAUUUCUUUACACUCUUUUUAUUUAUUUGUUAUUAUUUCUAAAUUUAUUGUAUUUACUAUAUUUUGAAUUAUGCCUCAUGUUUCCCUUUUAAUAAAAACUAUGAUAACUAUCAUUUAUUUGUUUUGCCUUAUUUUUUUAUGGCUUAUAUUAAGGGGGGAGUUCUCUAAGGGGGAGUAUUUUAUAUACAUAACUCUUUUUAAUAAUGAUAAAAAAGGGAGAGGAAUAUGUUUAAGGGCUUAAUAAUAUUUAUCUCUUGUCUACUAAUCUCUUUUCUUUAAGUUAUGUAUGAGUUACAGAUUAGUAUAGGUUAUCAAAAGCUUUUACAUCAAAGAGUUUUUUAUCAUCAUAAAAAAGGGGGAGAUUGUUAGCAUAAAGUUGAAGAGAAGAAAUUUUGAUGAUGUCUCAAUGUUAAGUCUCAAGUGCUCCUAUUCCAGGAAGAUCUUCAUGAAGACUUAUUUUUUUUAUUAAAGCUUAUAUAUUUUGGUAGAUUGAUGUAUAGGAUGUGGUUUAUGUUUGAUUAUGUGUAUUGUGUUCCUUAAGGUGCGUUAAAAUUUGUUUUGAAUUAGAAAACCUCAUUUUAUACUCAAGCAGAAAAUGAGACGAACCCUGUGCAUCGUGAUGUCAGAGAUGUAAGAGCAAGGUUGGAUGUUGGCAUGCGUGAAUGUCAUCCAGUAUUAUGCCAAAGGUAUCAUAUCCAACCUCCUAAUGUUAACCGCCGCUCCACUAGAGUUAGUCUGAAAAUGCCUUCCAGGGAGGCACGUAACCC
rnacentral:lncRNA from 1 species